UGGCUAAGUUAGUCCCCUGUUAAAUCCACCGAAUUAAUCGUUGGAUUGCGGGGGAAACUGCUUGGCUAGGGGACGAGAGAGGCAGACGGUAUUUCCGGGGUAGGGGUGAAAUCCUAUAAUCCCGGGAAGACCACCAGUGGCGAAGGCUGUCUGCUAGAACGCGCCCGACGGUGAGGGAUGAAAGCUGGGGGAGCGAACCGGAUUAGAUACCCGGGUAGUCCCAGCUGUAAACGAUGCAGGCUAGGUGUUUGGACGGCCACGUGCCGUUCUAGUGCCGCAGGGAAGCUGUUAAGCCUGCCGCCUGGGGAGUACGAUCGCAAGAUUGAAACUUAAAGGAAUUGGCGGGGGAGCACCACAAGGGGUGAAGCUUGCGGUUUAAUUGGAGUCAACGCCGGAAAUCUCACCGGGAGCGACAGCAGUGUGAAGGCCAGAUUAAAGGUCUUGCCAGACGAGCUGAGAGGAGGUGCAUGGCCGUCGCCAGUUCGUGCCGUGAGGUGUCCUGUUAAGUCAGGCAACGAUCGAGACCCGCGUCCUCUGUUGCAACUAGCCUUGUGCUGGGCACACUGAGGAGACCGCCACUGAUAAAGUGGAGGAAGGAGCGGGCCACGGCAGGUCCGCAUG
rnacentral:rRNA from 1 species